rnacentral:rRNA from 1 species
CCCCUACGGGGCGCAGCAGUAGGGAAUCUUCCACAAUGGACGAAAGUCUGAUGGAGCAACGCCGCGUGAGUGAAGAAGGGUUUCGGCUCGUAAAGCUCUGUUGGUAGUGGAGAAAGAUAGAGGUAGUAACUGGCCUUUAUUUGACGGUAAUUACUUAGAAAGUCACGGCUAACUACGUGCCCGCAGCCGCGGGAAUACGUAGGGGGCAAGCGUUGUCCGGAUUUUUUGGGCGUAAAGCGAGU